rnacentral:lncRNA from 1 species
UUAUUAUUAUUAUUUAGUUGUAAUUACAUUUAUGGUGAUGUGCUCUUUUUCUUUUUUUUCUUUUUCUUUUCGUUUUUUUUAAAUCACAAGUGUAGUUUUAGGUUAAUGACAUCAGGAAAAAAAAAUCAAUCUCUUGCUAUUUACUUAAUUUCCGUAAUUCACAAUUUACCCUAGUUUUGUAAGCGAUUUAUUCACAUCGGUUGAGUAUAUUUGAUUUAGGACGAAAUUUUAUGUUCGUACUUUGAAAAAUUUCUUUUAUUCAAGUUUUAACGCAUUUUUUCUUUUUUUCCUUUACUAUCAUUUGGCUAACUCUCAUGUGUGAAAGUGGUGUUAAAGAGCAGAGAAAAAAGAAUCGAUACGAAUUUUUGCAUAUCCGUACCACUUUUCAUUAGGGAAAGAAUACCGGCGAAUCGUUCUUUUUUAAAAAAAAAUUCGCGAUUAAACAAUGAAUCGAAAGGAAAAAUGCGAGGAUUGAACUCUCGCAUCGAAGUAAAUAUAUAGAAGAAAUAUAAAAUAGAACCAACGUCUUCGAACGACAACGUCAAACAAUACAAAAAUGAAACAAUGAAAUUGUGUCGCGUCUCGAAUCGUUUUGCCCUCAAAAGUAUUUUGUCACGAGGGGACUUCGAAACGCGACAUCAUAUUAUCGAUAUAUAAUAAUAUCGUUUUAAAUUGAUCUUUCAUGCAAGAGAAUGAAAAUCAACAGUUCAUCAAUUUCAUACGAAGCACUGAUCAUUAUACAGGGACACAAAACACAGCCACACGAAACACUAUGUCGAUUAAUUAAUUAAGCCUUAAAUUUAGAAUUAAGUUGAAAGGUCUGAAGUGAAAUAAAGAUAGAAAGGAAAAGAAGGAGGUAGAGAGAGAGAGAGAGAGAGAGAAGAGGAAGAAGCUGUUCUUUUUAAGCGCUAUGGUCUACGAUUACAUAUUUAAAUCAAAUAUCUCAAUCAAUGUUUUUUUUUUUUUUUUAAAGAUAGAACAAAUGCGAGAAAGCGCGAUUUUUAAUCGGUAAAAGAUUGAUGUUAUUUUUUUUUCUGAUCCAAUCGUGCCUCCUUUUUUGUUCCAUUUUCUUACGUGAUAUUCGAUUCGUAUAUUUUCAGAUUUGAUUUUAAAUAUCUUUAAUUCCCGUUGUGAAACAUCAAAUCGUCAAAAUUCGAGGCACAUGCUUUGUUCUCAAUUCUUCUCGCGAAAGAAACUUUUAUUUGUAUUUUAUUUCUAUACCAAGAAAAUCUAGUGGUCAUGGAAUCAUGCAGCGAAAUUCGACGCCAUUUUCACUCGCUCUUCGAUAAUCAAUUUAUAAUAUUAAUAUAAUAGGUGUCGUUUUGCGUUCGAAUCGAUUCGUUUCAAAUUCGAGGCGACACUCUCUUCGAGAUCACCGAUAACGAGAAAAAAAAAAAAAAAGGAAGAUCGAAAGUUUGCUUUCUGCGUGGUUCUACGAUACACACACAUUUAUAUAUCGAAUGAUAAAAAAAAAAAAGACAUUUUCGAAAGGCUAGACCAUUGUUAAGGAAAGUACGAUUUUUACUUACGGUAGCAAGGAGAAGUUUCUCGUGAUCUAUUGAUUGUUUAAUUAUAAAUUCCAUAACGCAUCUCUGACGAGCCUGUCGAUGACAAUAUUUUUUAUCCUUCUUCCUGCUGCUGCUCGUGAAAGUCCAGCCGUACACCAGCGCGAUGCGCGACCAUGAAAAAUACAAUGUCUAUUUUUGUUUUUUUUUUUUUUUGUUUUCUAUUAAAUGGGACUAAUUUGACGGAAGAUUAAUCAUAGAGCUCGUAAAAAUGUGGUAUAAAGAAAGGAAACAGAGAGAUCAAAUGAGUUGCACAAAAUUUUUACACAUUAUAAUAAAACAAGUAUCCGUGUCAAUCUGAUGUGCGGCUAAAUUAUAAAAUGUAGGGGAAAUGGAUUGAACCGCGACUGCGGUACGUAAAAAAAAAAAAAAACGCACUGACUAUUUUAGCGAAUCGAGAUUCGACCAUGUACCUUGAUAUAUAUCUUGAGCGUGUUUCCAGGAAGUAUGUAUGCGUUGGUGAUUGCGAAAGGAAGCAAGAAUGUGAAUAUGUAUGUAUGCGCGUGUGUGUGUAUGUGAGCGUGCCAAAAGAAACGUUUGUGAGAUUAAGCAUGUGAGAGAAAGAGAGAGAGAGAAAGAGGAUAAAUAUAAAUAUAUAUAUUAAAUAUAUACGGUUGGAGGGAGAAUCCCUUCGCUCUUGAAAAAGAAGGAAAUGGACGCGUUUUAUCCAGAACAUGGUUAAAAUGAAGAUCGUUUAUUUUUACGAUCGUUCGAACAAAAUUCAUAAAGCAAAAGCAAAUUAAAUGAAAGAUGAAUAAUAAACUAUUGGGGAAAACGUGUCCGUUUGAUUUCUCGAUUUCUCGCAUGUGCAGAGCGGUUUAUGCACCGUUGCACGAUCAAUAAUAAAAGAAAAGCAAAACAACACACGAUCGAUGGCGUUUAAAAAUGUGUGCGUGCGUUGCUUGGACAAAGAUGUUAUGAACGAAAAGAGAUUGUGCCAUCGCUCGCACGUGCGUGACAAUAAUUUUUCCUACGUGUAACCGUUGUGCGUAAUAACUUUAGUUUUUUUUCUUCUCCCUUUUGUUUCAAGGCUCACCGCGGAGAGUAAUGUUUGCGCGGUAAAUAUGAAAUUCUGCAAGAUAGAAAUUUUCUAUUUUUCACGCAAAAAUGUGAAUGCACGACGCUUGUAUUUUGAGUCAAUUACUAAAUUAUCCGCGCUGCCAGAUGUUCAUUCCACUUUUAAUCGGCCAGUAGUGAAAGACGCGGCGCUGCCAUCUUGAUCCGUAGACCUAGUUUCCAUACUACACAGGUCAAUAAUAUAAUUAACAGUAAAUUUUAACUAUGUAGAAACGAAUUAAGUAAAUGCGUAUUAUAUAUAAUUUCAUGCUGUUUGAUCAAUUGACUGUAUAUUUUUAUUUUAUAAAUUUCAUAAUUUUAUCUAUGAUAAAUAUAAUUUUACUGCAUCAUAAAAAUCAAAUUUAAGUGCAAAUUAUAAUUUAAUAUAAUGAGAAACUGCUUUUAUAUCUGAGUUUCACUCAGCUGUACAUAUCAUAUAAUUGUACAAAUUAUACAUAUUAGUCUCUCUAUUACUUCUUCCGAAUAAAAUUUACAAGUGAAUAAAGAUUUUAAAGGAAGGAUGAUAGAUUGACUAUUUUAAUUUUUACUUAAAGAUUUUGGAGACUAGUACUUCGGAUCGGAAAAAAUUGUAAAUUAGUAGAUAUAUAUUUAUAUCAAAAUGGUCUUAAGAAAAUGACUUUUCUGUCACGCGCAGAUGUUUCUCCUCCGUCUAUCUGUCCUACAAACCACGUGGCAUUUCUUCUUCGAAUGGUUUCUCUUACUUUUGUUAUUUUUUUUUUUUUUUUUUUUUCUUCUCAUUUUAUAAGCUUAUAUUUUUACAUCAAGCAUCGCUGUACAGAGCAUUGUUCCGCGAAACUUUGGUCUGCUUAAAAACGAACGACGAUUUAGAAAUAUAAAAAGAUGCAAAAACGAACGAGGUAGACUUAUAGUGCACCGAAGGGCACUAUCCAUUCGAAGAAGCUUAUACUUCAGAACCAAUAGGUCUUUCAUUUUGUGCAUUUAUUAAGACAUAAUUUUCGUAUUGCCUUUUACUAUUAUCAUCCUCUUUAAUAACAAUAUUGAAAGUUUGUUUCGAUCCAAAAAAAAAAAAAGGAAAAAAAAAGAAAAAAGAAAGAAAAAGAUCAAGAACUAUAAGUGAAGUAAAUUAGCACAGUUCAAAACAAUGAAAAAAAAAAAAAGGAAGCAAAAGAAAAAGUUAAAGGACUAUCGAUAAUCAACCUAUUGUUUUCGAGAGUAUAGGCUUCGCGAAUCCGAUAAAGUUAUACAAAAAACAAAAAAAAAAAAAUACAGAAUGACAGAACUUUUGUUCUGUCCCAACGAAAUAGAGGCGACGAGUUUACCGUUAGGCAGUAAAUUAUAUAGAUGUAAUUAAGGUUUACUAAAACGCGAUAUUUGCAAUGAAAACAGUGAGAGAAACGAGGAGAAAGAUAAGAGCUGUCUGUAUCGUGGAAUGAUUGAAGGAUUAAAUAUUAAAGAUGACGAUGUGAUCCCAGGAAACGAUGCGAUUAUCGUUUUCCUUUUUGCGUCUCUUUGAUAAAACUCCGUCGCGGACAUGAUGCAAUUUGCUGUCAAGUUUUAGGGUAUAUAAGAAUAGAGUUAUAUAAUGUAUAUCUAUAAUUGUACGUAAAAAAACGCAAAAGCAGUACGUUUAAGGUUCGACUCGAGCGCAUACAUAAGAAAUAAUGUAUUAUAAAAUAUCAUAUUAAGGGUGCCCGUUUUGAGUGCAACAUUUUUUUUUUUUCUUGAGGAGGAUCAAUCGAUAAAAAGCGGGUCUAAGCGAAAGAAAGAAAAAAAAAAAAAACAAGAACAGAUUCGCGAACAAUUGUACAUAAUGCGUGAAUCGAAAUUCAUUCGCACGAGCCGUGAUGAGCUCGCGAAAGAGAAUAUUUUGUUAUAGUAAAAAAAAAAAAAAGAAUCGAUAACUGAGGCGAAGAAAAAGAAAAGUUCCAUUUUGGGAUACAGUGUGUGGCUGCUAUGCAUUUUCAAACGCACGUUUCGAGUUAUCGUAACGGUUCGAUCGAUAUAUGGAUCUUUCUGCGGCUUCGAGUUUGUAAAGAGAAGUGAAGAAGAGGAGGAAGAAGAACAAAUGAACGAAGAAGAAACAAAGGAAUGAAGAAGAAGGGUGGCAACGAAAAACGAGAUAUGAAUGCUGUCGUUACGCGCAAGAACGAGAUUUCAUUAUCAUUCCGAGGAGAUAGACUAGCUUGGUCACUUUCAUAAUUAAAAAAAAAAAAUAAAAAAAAAAAUAAAAAAAUAAAAAAAAAAACAACAUAUGUAUACCGAGAAAACAGUAUGUACAUUCCGGUUCAUAACAAAAUGAUCUUUCGAGAUCAUAUUAAAUUGCGCGUGCAUUAUUCACCGAUAAAUUAUUUUUACUAAAGAUAUAUGUACAGUUACAUAUAUCGAAGAGGAGAGAGAAUUUCGACUGGACGCAAUUCCCGUCGAAUUUUAAUUUCUUCAAAUGGAAUCAAAGGAAAUGAAGAGAGGACCAAGAAGAAGCAAGGAAGAAUAAGAACCGAGUCAAGGGGAUAACGGGAGAGCUAACGAUGGCGCGAUCGACGAGAAUGGAUUACGAUUAUCGAUUGGCCACCUUUCAACGCGCAUCCCGUUGUUUUCUUGGCGAAACAAUCGUCUCGUGUUUGCGCGUUCGACGUGGACUUAGGAUUGCGUGUGGGUUCGUAAAGAAAGAAGAAAUCAAAUGGAGGUUAUAUAUACACGGGGCAAAAUAUGUGGUCUCGUGUAAUAAAUAAGGAAAAGACUCGAAAUUUUUUCGAUGAUAUAAUAAAUAAUUUAAUAAUCGUCCACACAAUACGAAGUUCGACAGAGGAACAAUUAUUUUUUGCCGUUUUUUCUUCUAUCGAAAAAAAAAAAAAAAGGAACUUCUCGAAGUUUCCAUCGCUAGAACGAUGAACAACUGCGGCGUAGCGAGAUGAUUAUUUUAGAACGGCGAUGAUGAUGAUCCUCCGAAGAAGCAAAAAGGAACGUAACUAAGAGAGAGAGAGAGAGAGAGAGCAAGUACUUGGAGAAAUAAUAUGGCGAAGGAUGAUAUAUCCAAGUCGUACCUAAAGCGUAAUUGUUUAUAUAUCGUAAUUUUGGUACUGUUAUUCGAGUACGUAUACACGCGUUUUUUCGAAGAAAUUAUAAUAAGCGCGUGACCAAUGGAGGAGGAGAAGAGGAUGAAGAAACACGAAAAAGAUGCAAAGAAGCGAUUGUCGGCGAUAAUAAAAUUAAAAGAUGAAACAGAGUGAAAUGGCAGCACUGCGGAAUGGAAGAUUUAAUACGAGUAAAGGAGGAAAUAUAUAAUGUCUUUCAAAGUGAGAGUGAUUGGUGAUGAAGAAGUAAGAACCUCUGAGCGAGGUUGGAGCGGAUGUGAUGAGAGGAUUUCUAAAAAACCAUCAGAAAAAAAUGUCUUUUUGACAACAAAAAGCACCAAAAAAAAAAUCAAUAUAUAAAACCAGUGGAGUGUGUGUGAGAAACAGCGCGAGUGGGAAGGAUGAUUGAAAAUAAAAAUAAGGAAAUAUCAACAACGGAAAAGCUUAAUAAAGGGAUUUAGGAAUAGUAAGGAAACAUGAUAUCGGGAGAGAAAGUAAAUAUGGCUUUAAAAAUAUUGGUGUGCAAUAAUCGCCGAGAUAGCUCAAAGAUGAAUCAAGAAAACUUGAUGGAAAAAAAAAGAGAAGAUUCUUGGAUCUUCUUCCGUAUAUACAAAGACAAGGAUUGCAAGGAUCUUUUUUUGUAGCAUGGUAAAAACAAAUUUUUGAGGCGAUUCAUGAAAUAAAAAAAGUCAGACUUGAAAAUAUUUCAGUACAGCACAACUACUACACACGCGCAUACACAUACAUACAUACAUAUAUACAUAAUUCAUCCAUACACGUAUGUACAUAAGGAAAAAAAAACGAAAGAAGCAAACUAAGAGAUUUAAUCUUAGGAAAAAAUUUAUGUGAGUCACGUGCAAAAUUCAAAUUGAAUAAACACUGGACGCACAUGUUUACUAUUAUCAUCGCUGCUAUCUGUAUGUCACGAUAUAUUAACGGAAGUAAACGCAGAAGUGCGAAAACCUUGAAGGAACUGAAUGGAAAGGAAUACAUUCAGAAAGUGAGAAAAAAAAUUGAUGACCAAACGCCUGAAAAUUUUUUCAAUAAUUAAACUUGUACACCAUUUACCAUUUUUCAAAAAAUAUAUACAUACGUGUAUAUAAACACGCCAUAAUUAAAGUUUCUUUCAUAAUCAUCUAGAAUGUGAAUGGAUUUGCUCCUUUCAAGAAAAAACUAGAAGAAGAAGAAGAAGAAGAAAUAGAGCAACGAGAGAAAAUUUUUAAUGUUUUUUGGCAUCCUGUCUUUUUUCUACUUAUUCUUUUUUAUUUCUUUUUCCUUAAUAUUACGCUUUCACCAUCCUUCCUUUUCAUAACAAUGAAAACUACUGGCCGAAAAUGUAUGUCACAAAAAAGCAUUCAGCUUUAUUCGUAAAUACUUUUUGAUGAUAAUAUUAUCCCUGUUCCUGUCUUAUACUAUAUUUUACAUGUUGCUCAUAUCCCGUCCACAUUUUCACUUUACUAUCCUUUUUUUUUCUUUAGGGCCCUUCUCAGGGCCCGCAAAUGCCUCAUGUAUGGAGUAGCAAUUUCUCGGAUGAACUAAACAUGCACAAGAAAUCUGUCCUUUUCAGGACAAAAAUUUAAAACCGUCCUUUUCAAGGUGAAAAUAUAAAAUUGUUCAUUUUGGAAUUAAUUCUACAAGUUCUUUCCAGGAAAAAGAUUCUACGAAGUUUAAUACUUUUCAGGCUGAAAUAUUUCAAGUACCUGAAUUAUCAAUGUACCGUUCUGCAUUUUAUUGUCAGAUUGUUGGAUCCUUUUAUUCUGCUGUAUUGUUAGGUGUGACUUCAGUAUGUUUUUCCAACUAAGAUGGCGGAAGUCUAUUAUGUGCUUUCGAUGAAAUAAGAAGUAUAUUA